rnacentral:miRNA from 1 species
UCCCUUCCGGUCAAUGAGGUAUAACAUCCUCAUCAUCCGGAAGGGAUUCCUUCCGUCAAUGAGGAUGUUAUACCUCAUCAACCGGAAGGAA